AUUCUUCUGCAGUAACGCAUAUGAGAAGCCUUUGUGACCCUGCAAAGGGUAUCUACCGCGACUAGAAACAAGAAUGUAGAUAUUAAAACGCAAGUCAGUUUUACAGCUGGCCACACUUUCGAAUUGCGGGGACACCCUAAAGCCAACCUCUACUAAACUGUUAAGAGAAAUCUUGCAGCGGCCUGUGUUAACAGCAUAGGGUACAGUAAUAAUGUGGUUGGAUAGUAUGAAUGGGCAAUCCGCAGCCAAACCCUAAGGCUUUUUGGAGCUAUGGGGAAGGUUCACAGACUAAGUGGAAGUGGGCUGACGUCCGUUCAGCUUAAGAUAUAGUCGGUCCCUCUGAGAAAUCAAACGGGGAGUUACACGUUCCGUAGGUGAACCUGCGGAAGGAUCAUUACUGAAAACUGUACACCUAGGUUCGUCCGGUGUCCUUUCAACCAACUGUGAACCAAAACCAUAUAAUUUUGCUUCGGCAGCAGGCUGGUGUUGGGUGAAACCUCCACCGGCUCGUCAGCCUGCCGAAGAGCGCAAGCAAACCAGAUUUUUGAAACCUGUCUGAAAACCAUAUUUUCGAAUGAAAAUUAAAACUUUCAACAACGGAUCUCUUGGUUCUCGCAUCGAUGAAGAACGCAGCGAAACGCGAUAGUUAAUGUGAAUUGCAGAAUUCAGUGAAUCAUCGAGUCUUUGAACGCACAUUGCGCCCAUUGGUAUUCCGAUGGGCAUGUCUGUUUGAGCGUCAUUUCAACUCUCUGUACCAGUUAAUUUUGGUUCAGGUCUUGAGCUUGGUUGGUCGCUUUGUUGCGAGACCGGCUUUAAAAUGGCACGCUCUGCGGGUGACCUCUUACCUGACCGAACAUAGUAAAUUUUGAAUUGUUCCACCUGGUUUUUGGCUCACCUCAGCCUGAACAAAAUCUUUUUUCUAAGGUUUGACCUCAGAUCAGACAAGGAUACCCGCUGAACUUAAGCAUAUCAAUAAGCGGAGGAAAAGAAACCAACAGGGAUUGCCUCAGUAACGGCGAGUGAAGCGGCAACAGCUCAAAUUUGAAAUCUGAAGCUUUCAGCUUCCGAGUUGUAAUUUGAAGAGGAUGCUUCGGUUGUGGCCUGGGCCUAAGUUCCUUGGAACAGGACGUCGUAGAGGGUGAGAAUCCCGUACACGGCUACCGGCUUUCAAUCAUGUGUAGCUCCUUCGAAGAGUCGAGUUGUUUGGGAAUGCAGCUCAAAAUGGGUGGUAAAUUUCAUCUAAAGCUAAAUACUGGCGAGAGACCGAUAGCGCACAAGUAGAGUGAUCGAAAGAUGAAAAGCACUUUGAAAAGAGAGUUAAACAGUACGUGAAAUUGUUGAAAGGGAAGCGUUUGCAAUCAGACUUGCUUUCGGUUGAUCAACGUUCCUUCUGGUUCGUGCACUCUGCCGUCUGCAGGCCAGCAUCGGUUGGAGCGGUGGGACAAAGACUCCGGGAAUGUGGCUCCCUUCGGGGAGUGUUAUAGCCCGGUGUGUAAUGCCACCAGUUCCGACCGAGGUCCGCGCUUCUGCUAGGAUGCUGGCAUAAUGGUUGUAAACGACCCGUCUUGAAACACGGACCAAGGAGUCUAACAUCUAUGCGAGUGUUUGGGUGUCAAACCCAUGCGCGAAAUGAAAGUGAACGGAGGUGGGAGUCUUCGGAUGCACCAUCGACCGAUCCUGAUGUCUUCGGAUGGAUUUGAGUAUGAGCAUAGCUGUUGGGACCCGAAAGAUGGUGAACUAUGCCUGAAUAGGGUGAAGCCAGAGGAAACUCUGGUGGAGGCUCGCAGCGGUUCUGACGUGCAAAUCGAUCGUCAAAUUUGGGUAUAGGGGCGAAAGACUAAUCGAACCAUCUAGUAGCUGGUUCCUGCCGAA
rnacentral:rRNA from 1 species